UCUCAGUUGGGUUUUCGUGUUGGUUGAAGCUGAUAUUUCUGCUAGAUUUUUCCAAGAUCCAGCAUUGUGCAAGGAAACGUCUGGUAAGAGACAAGGCAGAGGAUGACGAGAAACGAGAGUGAGAUACAAGAGUCCCAGGUACCUAGGGUGCAACCGGUCUUUAUUAUGCAGUCUAUUAGAAAUAUGCAUAUACUACAAGAACAAGCAUCUCCAAUCUCCAGCUUCCUAGACUAGGAGCUUAGACAAUGUGUGACAGAAAAGACAACAUUCUUUUCUCCCUGUGAUAUGCAUGAUGUGAGUUGGUGCAGGGUUCUGUCUAAUUCAUGCAAGCGCUCUGGAGGGGGCACUCAGCACCUUUCCUUCUCACCUGGUUUUACCACUCUUUGAUGAUGUACUUCAUUCAACUUGUUCAUUACAACUGGAAGCUCCAGUACAGCAUCUGAACCGGUCCAGUAACUAGUCCAGCUGAUCUGCUCUCAACCUACACCACUGCUCAAGUCACCAAUGUCUUCGCAGUUUGUAGCUCUUCUUCUGGUCAUCAUCAACCCUAUCAAGGCAAAACAGAAAUGUUGGGAGACUGAAGUUUCUAAGGAUGAUACUCUCAAGAUUCUGAGAUGAAUAAGAAAGGGAGCAGGAAUGAUUCGUACACAGAAUAAGCGAGCGCCGCUGGAGUAAUACAAGCCAAAGGGAUCUUGCAAAAGGAACGGAGAUUCGUAUAAGAGCCAAUUAAGGGAAUGCUCGCUGCUGCAAGACGAGUCCUUACUUCAACGAAAGGUGAACCCAAUUGAAAAAGGAAAACACAUCAUCAAAGUAGCAGGCUCAGAAGUGUGAAAUGUAAUCUAUAAUUUAUAGCGAAUUCAUUGUUCACGCCAUGUGCCUAUUCAGUACAUCAUUGGAAGUCGUACAUUUCAGAUGUCAGGACAUCACAUAGCACAUGAACUUUCCAGACCUUCUUCGAUGUUCCUCAUGCUACCAAUUGUGACUGGAGUCCAGGAAUCGAAUAGAACUAGUCCUCUAAAAACCUGAAUAAUACUGCUUUGAAACUGGAAUAUCAACACAAUAAUUGAUCAUAUCCCAGGUGUCAGUCAUGCAUGAUGUUUAAUACCAAAUUCACAUUGUAUUCUGUUAUACAAUUUUGGAAAGAAAUAAAUGCUUUUUAUUCAUUCAUAAAC